UGAGAAUCAAACAGUCCUUUUGCUAAGGAAGAAAAUAAGCUGGAAAGAACGCUCUCAUAUUCUCUUCUUGAAGAAAGCUUUCAAUACAGUGACCAAACAGGCUGAGAGAGAUCCAGUAAUUUGCCCAAGAUCACACACUUCAUAAGUGAGUUUAUUAUUAAUGCAGCCUUUCACUAUAUUAAAAAUUAUAGUCCGUUUCUUUUUACACCCAAUAUAUUCAGCAUUUUUGAAUAAAUUUGUUAUCAGGUUGUUAGACUGUUCUACUCUAAAUGAUCAAUUAAAGAAAAAUCAGUGUAACAAUCA